CAGGGUAUACCUCAGUGGUAGAGUACCUGCCUAGCAUGCAUGUUUAAGAUCCUAGAUUCAAUUCCCAGUGCUAUAA
rnacentral:tRNA from 1 species